GGCUGCCAUGGUGUAGUGGCUUGAGCAUUGGACUAGGAUUCUGGAGGCCAGGAUUCAAAUCCCUGCUCAGCCA